rnacentral:rRNA from 1 species
CCUACGGGAGGCAGCAGUGGGGAAUAUUGGGCAAUGGGCGCAAGCCUGACCCAGCAACGUCGCGUGAAGGAAGACUGCCCUCGGGUUGUAAACCUCCUUUUUUAGGGACGAAGCAAGUGACGGUACUUGAGGAAUAAGCCACGGCUAACUACGUGCCAGCAGCCGCGGUAAUACGUAGGUGGCAAGCGUUAUCCGGAUUUACUGGGUGUAAAGGGCGUGUAGGCGGGAAAGCAAGUCAGAUGUGAAAACCAUGGGCUCAACCUGUGGUCUGCAUUUGAAACUGGUUUUCUUGAGUACUGGAGAGGCAGACGGAAUUCCUAGUGUAGCGGUGAAAUGCGUAGAUAUUAGGAAGAACACCAGUGGCGAAGGCAGUCUGCUGGACAGCAACUGACGCUGAGGCGCGAAAGCGUGGGGAGCAAACAGGAUUAGAUACCCGGGUAGUC